UCCAAAAGAUCCUAAAAGACCCAAGAGACCCUAAUUACACCUAAAAUCCCAGACUCUCUAAACAAUUCUAAUUGAUCCAAAAUUAUCUUAAACCCAAAUUGACCUUAAAUAGUUUAAAUGGAGAUUAGAUCUAAUGAGCCUGACUUUCCCACUCUCAGCAACAUUAGUGCUAACAACUUCAAUGAACUUGACAUUAAUGACGCAGCGAUCUAAAAACCUUAAGAGGCAAUGACGCAGCCGCUUUGUUGAUGGCCUGUCCUGACCCUGAUUACCCCACACCCCAGUGACUCAGCAUCCAUGCUCCAAAGAGCAGGGUUCUGUUUAUAUACCUUUAAAUGCCUUUAACCCUGACCCGGGGAGGCCACUCACGCUGAACCUGAAGACUCUGAGUUCCAAAUGACAGGAUUGAUGUAUGGUUGACUCUGAUGCCCCUGACAUUGACAACCCUAAUUCCUGAUUACCUUAAACUAUUGACCAUGAACUGUCAACUCUGGAAAGCAGACUAGAGCAGACCCUCAUAUACCCCAACCUCAACCCUAACAUUACACUCUUCCCCCUAAUGAUGCUAUGCCUUCAUCCUAAUAAUCCAAGCAACAUGAGAACUGUGAAAGAGGUUACCCUGAGGCUUACCUGGCCCUAGAUGUGACUCUGUCUCACAUACCUAGAGCCCUAAACCCUAAUAACUCUGACUUUAAACCCUAAACACUGAAAAACGAGAAAGCACUAUUAAGAUAGCCCACGAGUGGCACCAGCUCUGAUUUUCCUGAUGUGGAACGUCACAGACCCUCCCCCCAACACUCCUUACCCUGAAUUCCAUGUGCCUGCCCGUCACCUAAGGAUCUAGUUUAAAAAGAAGAUGAAGUAAUACUUUUUAGAAGUUCAUCCUGCUUUUGAGCUAGGACCCGAAAAUCCAUCUGAGGAUCAUACACCAUGUUCUUCUCAAUGUAAUCACUGAAAUUUACCCUGAGUUAAGAUGAAAUAAUGCAGAUUUUAGGCUUUAUAAAACUAACUCUAAGCUGCCCUUAUAGUCAUGAAGUUGCUUUUCAAGGCCAGUGUGACGUUUGGCACGGUGAGGGGAAAAAAACAAAAUCCCAGGAGCCUCCACUUAAAGGAUAAAAUGACCACAAGAAUCCAUACAGGAUAUUGUAAAUGAGCCUUGCUGAGUGGGCAUGACUUAACCUGCUUUAUCCCCCCAAAGGAAGAUGCUCCAAAAAUGCAUCCCCCGGGAGGUCAAGAUCUUUAAUACUGUCUUUCUUGGGAGCCAUAUUGAAAGAUAAUAAUUUGGUUUCAAUGAAAUACAUAAAAGAGCUUAAUGUCCUGGCGAUAAAGAUGUGUUUCACAGUGUGUAAUACUUUCCUUAUUCAGAAUUUGUAGAGAAAGUACGUUAAAGUCUAUAGAUGUAGCACAAAAUCAAUUUCACUAUCUGAGAGUAGAUGCCAAGACAGAAUGUUGGUGAGAGCAGCUAGUUGGUAAGAGACAUAGACAGGAUGGUAUCACAUCCUGAUCCUUACGUAUCCCAUGCACACACACACAGAUACUUUGCAUACAAAUUAAGUUAACCUCUGGGCAACUGGAGCUCCAUCCCACCUGAGACCUCUGAAAGCCAGGGUAGAGCAUACCUCAGAGUUCUCCCACCGAGGGGUGAGGGAGCCGGGUUACUUACACACCAACUUCCAUCAGGCAUCGGUAGGGAGAGAGAGGGCUGCUCUUGGGGGCCGGGGGAUGCAUUAAUUCCCUGGUAUCUCUGGCUUUCAGGGUCCACGGGCAGAGGAAGCCAUGGUGGCCAAAGAAAAGUCCACAGGCCAAGGAGCACAAGUGCUGGCCAUUAGAGGUCAGGUGUAUGUGCACAGAAAGGGCGAGUGGUUAGGGACAAUGUCUGCUGUAUGAACUUUGGUGCAUCUGGGUGUGUUAACAGCAACAGUUUGUUAGAUGUGAAUAUUUAAACUAUUCCACACUUUUGUAAACUUGCUUCCGCAUUUCUUCAGCUUGCAAUUUUCUGGAUGCCCCCCAAAAGAAAGGCUUCUCUCCUCUGCCUCAGGUGACACUCCAGAAAUUUAUUUAUGGCCUACCUGAAUAAUCCGUGAUAAUUUCCCUUUCUCAAGAGCCUUAAGUUAAUCACGUUUGCGAAGACCCCUUUUCCAUACAAGGUACAACUGGCAGGUUCCUGGUAUCUUUGGGGGCCAUUUUCCAGCCUACCCAUGCUAUGGAAAACCGGAAGUAGUUUGGGAAACGUGAAGUCAGACAAAAAGGAGUGCCUGCAGUUCUUGGAUGACCCUGUUUAGGAGACAAGAGAAUGUGUAACAGUGGAAGCAUGGAACAUCACCCAGGCAAGAAAAACAAAGGUCCUGCCCAUUCCCUGCUAUGCCUUCCACCUGUGGCCACAGUGCCCUCCCUGGACAGCUUGGACUCCAGGUGCCCACCUGCUGCCCAGGUCAUGCUUACCACCGGUCCUCAGUCAAUCUCCCACAGAAGCCAUCUCUGGAAAUCCACCUGUCAGGACGGCUUUGCAGACCAUUGCUUGGACUUCAACAAGGACUUGUGGUCUAUUCAGAUGCAUAAUAAAGGACUGGUUGACCAUCCAUCACCUGCCAGACACUGUCCUAGGUGCUGGAGAGACCGGCCACCAGAAAAUGUGCCGUGUCUAGUCCCAGUAGGAGGAUGAGAGACACGUGGAGCGGAGCCGCCCCCAGCUGAUUCACAGCCCUCCCAGGAGGAGCACAGCUGUCCAGCUGAGCCCAGCCUUGCGGUUGAACCCCAGCCAACCCGCAGGAGUCUGCUUUGAAGCCAUGGAGUUUAGAGGUGGCUUGUGACACAGCCAUAGCUGGAUGAUACAGGUGCUUUGAAGGGAGUAAUGAGCUGGGAUAGAUGAGGAUGCGCAGAAGGAACCUGUUCCUGGAGGGAUGGCCUGGGAACGUGUGGUGAAGGGCCGCCGCUUAGGCUGAGGCCUGAAGGGUAAGCUGGAGCUUUCCACACAGCAAAGGGAGUGGAGAAAAAACAGACAAGGUCCUGAGGCUGGAGAGAACUUGUGUUUCUGGAACUGACAGAAGGCCUGGAUGGCUGAAACAGAGUUAGUCAGGGAAAAGGGGCCAAGAUGCAGUGAGAGAGAGGUGCAGAGCUUUUGAGGCCAGCAUAAGGAGUUUGGACUUUAUUCUCAAUACAAUGGGAAGUUUUUAAAAGGUCUUAAGGAGAGGGCGCCUGGGUGGCUCAGUUGGUUAAGCGACUGCCUUCGGCUCAGGUCAUGAUCCUGGAGUCCCGGG